rnacentral:rRNA from 1 species
GAUGAACGCUGGCGGCGUGCCUAAUACAUGCAAGUCGAGCGAACGGACUAGAAGCUUGCUUCUCUGAUGUUAGCGGCGGACGGGUGAGUAACACGUGGAUAACCUACCUAUAAGACUGGGAUAACUUCGGGAAACCGUAGCUAAUACCGGAUAAUAUUUUGAACCGCAUGGUUCAAAAGUGAAAGACGGUCUUGCUGUCACUUAUAGAUGGAUCCGCGCUGCAUUAGCUAGUUGGUAAGGUAACGGCUUACCAAGGCAACGAUGCAUAGCCGACCUGAGAGGGUGAUCGGCCACACUGGAACUGAGACACGGUCCAGACUCCUACGGGAGGCAGCAGUAGGGAAUCUUCCGCAAUGGGCGAAAGCCUGACGGAGCAACGCCGCGUGAGUGAUGAAGGUCUUCGGAUCGUAAAACUCUGUUAUUAGGGAAGAACAUAUGUGUAAGUAACUGUGCACAUCUUGACGGUACCUAAUCAGAAAGCCACGGCUAACUACGUA